rnacentral:rRNA from 1 species
AUGGAUGAUACCAACGUGAGUGAUCAUGCGUCCAUAUUUAAAUCAUCUGCGGCAGAAUUUGUUAGUGUAGAUGAGGAACCGGUUAUUACUGUGGAUAUUUAUGAUCCAAGCAAUUGGAAUCUUGACAAUAACUCAAGGGAUAUAUUAGUGGAAAAGGGGCCUAAGAGGGAAGAAGAAAACACUAAAUAUUCUUUGGAUGAAAAUUCAAGAUAUUUUUCAUAUACCCACUACUCAAGAAAUAUGUGCAAUGGAGAGAUGCGUGACAGGAAAUGGUUAGUUAUUUCAAAAGAUGCAAACAGAGUGUUUUCUUUGUGAUAUAAGCUUUUCAAUUCUGACAAAUGCAAGAGUGCAUUGGGGCAUGAGGGGUUUUGUGAUUGGAAGCAUAUUAAUGAGAGACCGAAAGGACAUGCAGCUAGUGUUGACCGUAUUACCAACAUAAACUCUUGGAAUGAACUGAACACUGGACUGAGAAAGCAUGAAACAAAUUGA